rnacentral:ncRNA from 1 species
AAUUCAAAUUACCCAUUCCCGACGCGGGGAGGUAGUGACGAAAAAUAACAAUGCAGGACUCGUUCGAGGCCCUGUAAUUGGAAUGAGUACACUUUAAAAGCUUUAACGUGUAUCCAUUGGAGGGCAAGUCUGGUGCCAGCAGCCGCGGUAAUUCCAGCUCCAAAAGUAUAUAUUUAAGUUGUUGCGGUUAAAAAGCUCGUAGUUGGAUUUUGGGCGCAGGCGGCCGGUCCGUCGCAAGGCGUGUACUGGACGUCCUGGCCUUCCCUCCGGUUCUCCGCCGGUGCUCUUGACUGAGUGUCGGCGGCGGCCGGAACGUUUACUUUGAAAAAAUUAGAGUGUUCAAAGCAGGCUCUCGAGCCUGGAUAAUGGUGCAUGGAAUAAUGGAAUAGGACCUCGGUUCUAUUUUGUUGGUUUUCGGAGCGCGAGGUAAUGAUUAAGAGGGACAGACGGGGGCAUUCGUACUGUGCCGUUAGAGGUGAAAUUCUUGGAUCGGCGCAAGACGAACGACUGCGAAAGCAUUUGCCAAGAAUGUUUUCUUUAAUCAAGAGCGAAAGUCAGAGGUUCGAAGACGAUCAGAUACCGUCCUAGUUCUGACUAUAAACGAUGCCAACUAGCGAUCGGGGGGCGUUACAUUGACGACCCCUCCGGCAGCUUACGGGAAACCAAAGUCUUUGGGUUCCGGGGGAAGUAUGGUUGCAAAGCUGAAACUUAAAGGAAUUGACGGAAGGGCACCACCAGGAGUGGAGCCUGCGGCUUAAUUUGACUCAACACGA